AUUGAACGCUGGCGGCAGGCCUAACACAUGCAAGUCGAGCGCGCGGCGGACGGGUGAGUAAUGUCUGUGAAACUGUCUGAUGGAGGGGGAUAACUACUGGAAACGGUAUCUAAUACCGCAUACCAUCAGAUGUGCCCAGAUGGGAUUAGCUAGUAGGUGGGGUAACGGCUCACCUAGGCGACGAUCCCUAGCUGGUCUGAGAGGAUGACCAGCCACACUGGAACUGAGACACGGUCCAGACUCCUACGGGAGGCAGCAGUGGGGAAUAUUGCACAAUGGGCGCAAGCCUGAUGCAGCCAUGCCGCGUGUGUGAAGAAGGCCUUCGGGUUGUAAAGCACUUUCAGCGGGGAGGCGUUACCCGCAGAAGAAGCACCGGCUAACUCCGUGCCAGCAGCCGCGGUAAUUC
rnacentral:rRNA from 1 species